UACAGAGGUCUCGAGCGUUGUUCGGAUUCAUUGGGCGUAAAGGGCGCGCAGGCGGCUGCUCAAGUCAGGCGUGAAAGGCCUGGGCUCAACCCGGGAAUUGCGCUUGAGACUGGGCUGGCUUGAGUGCGGGAGAGGAUGGUGGAAUUCCCAGUGUAGAGGUGAAAUUCAUAGAUAUUGGGAAGAACACCAGUGGCGAAGGCGGCCAUCUGGACCGCAACUGACGCUGAGGCGCGAAAGCGUGGGGAGCAAACAGG
rnacentral:rRNA from 1 species